ACCUAGAUAGCUUAUGUUUAGAGUAUAACACUGAAGAUGUUAUGGAAAUAGUUUUAUUUUUAGGUA
rnacentral:tRNA from 1 species